AGGACGCCAUGUGUGCGGGGUUAGGUGGGCGGUCCCAAUGCGCACCUAACAGCAUUUAAGGCGGCCUGAG
rnacentral:misc_RNA from 1 species